rnacentral:rRNA from 1 species
GCUUAACACAUGCAAGUCGAGCGAGAAUCGUCUAUUGAAGGCUUCGGCUGGAAAUAGAUGAGGAAAGCGGCGAACGGGUGAGUAACGCGUGGGCAACCUGGCCUUAAGAAAAGGAUAGCCCCCGGAAACGGGGAGUAAUACUUUAUGAGAAUGAAAGAGGGCAUCCUACUUUCAUUCAAAGCGCAAGCGCUUAAGGAUGGGCCCGCGUAUCAUUAGCUAGUUGGUGAGAUAACAGCCCACCAAGGCAACGAUGAUUAGCCGGUCUGAGAGGGCGAACGGCCACAUUGGAACUGAGAGACGGUCCAAACUCCUACGGGAGGCAGCAGUGGGGAAUAUUGCGCAAUGGAGAAGAACUCUGACGCAGCAAUACCGCGUGAGCGAAGAAGGUCUUCGGAUCGUAAAGCUCUGUUAUCAGGGAAGAAGAAAAUGACGGUACCUGAUGAGCAAGUCCCGGCUAACUACGUGCCAGCCGCCGCAGUAAUAC